UGCAAUACAUACAAGAUAUUACAGAAAGUGGC
rnacentral:piRNA from 1 species